AACGAACGCUGGUGGCGUGCCUCAUUACAUGCAAGUCGAGCGAGACUUCGAGUCGAGCGGCGUACGGGUGAGUAUCGCGUGAGUAACCUACCCUAUAGUUGGGAAUAACCCCCCCUAACGGGGGACUAAUACCGAAUAUUGAGUGGCACUGCAUAGUGCUUAGUCGAAAGGGCGCAAGCCCGCUAAAGGAUGGACUCGCGUCUGAUUAGCUAGGUUGGGGGGGUAACGGCCCACCAAGGCGAUGAUCAGUAGCCGACCUGAGAGGGUGACCGGCCACAAUGGGACUGAGACACGGCCCAUACUCCUACGGGAGGCAGCAGUAGGGAAUCUUGCGCAAUGGACGAAAGUCUGACGCAGCAACGCCACGUGUGGGACGACGCCUUUCGGGGUGUAAACCACUGUUAGCAGGGACUAGCCUACGGUGUAGACCGUACCGAAUGUACCUGCAGAGAAAGCACCGGCAAACUUCGUG
rnacentral:rRNA from 1 species